rnacentral:rRNA from 1 species
GACGAACGCUGGCGGCGUGCUUAACACAUGCAAGUCGAACGGAAAGGCCCUGCUUUUGUGGGGUGCUCGAUUGGCGAACGGGUGAGUAACACGUGAGUAACCUGCCCUUGACUUUGGGAUAACUUCAGGAAACUGGGGCUAAUACCGGAUAGGAUCUCCUGCUGCAUGGUGUGGGUUGGAAAGUUUCGGCGGUUGGGGAUGGACUCGCGGCUUAUCAGCUUGUUGGUGGGGUAGUGGCUUACCAAGGCUUUGACGGGUAGCCGGCCUGAGAGGGUGACCAGCCACAUUGGGACUGAGAUACGGCCCAGACUCCUACGGGCGGCAGCAGUGGGGAAUAUUGCACAAUGGGCGGAAGCCUGAUGCAGCAACGCCGCGUGCGGGAUGACGGCCUUCGGGUUGUAAACCGCUUUCGCCUGUGACGAAGCGUGAGUGACGGUAAUGGGUAAAGAAGCACCGGCUAACUACGUG